UACGGGGGGGGUAAGCGUUGUUCGGAAUUACUGGGCGUAAAGAGCUCGUAGGCGGUCUGUUGCGUCGGCUGUGAAAACCCGGGGCUCAACUCCGGGCCUGCAGCCGAUACGGGCAGACUAGAGUUCGGCAGGGGAGACUGGAAUUCCUGGUGUAGCGGUGAAAUGCGCAGAUAUCAGGAGGAACACCGGUGGCGAAGGCGGGUCUCUGGGCCGAUACUGACGCUGAGGAGCGAAAGCGUGGGGAGCAAACAGG
rnacentral:rRNA from 1 species